GAUGAACGCUGGCGGCGUGCCUAAUACAUGCAAGUCGAGCGAACAGACGAGGAGCUUGCUCCUCUGACGUUAGCGGCGGACGGGUGAGUAACACGUGGAUAACCUACCUAUAAGACUGGGAUAACUUCGGGAAACCGGAGCUAAUACCGGAUAAUAUAUUGAACCGCAUGGUUCAAUAGUGAAAGACGGUUUUGCUGUCACUUAUAGAUGGAUCCGCGCCGCAUUAGCUAGUUGGUAAGGUGACGGCUUACCAAGGCGACGAUGCGUAGCCGACCUGAGAGGGUGAUCGGCCACACUGGAACUGAGACACGGUCCAGACUCCUACGGGAGGCAGCAGUAGGGAAUCUUCCGCAAUGGGCGAAAGCCUGACGGAGCAACGCCGCGUGAGUGAUGGAGGUCUUCGGAUCGUAAAACUCUGUUAUUAGGGAAGAACAAAUGUGUAAGUAACUAUGCACGUCUUGACGGUACCUAAUCAGAAAGCCACGGCUAACUACGUG
rnacentral:rRNA from 1 species